UGGCGAACGGGUGAGUAACGCGUGGGUGAUCUGCCCUGCACUCUGGGAUAAGCCUGGGAAACUGGGUCUAAUACCGGAUAGGACCAUGCUUUAGUGUGUGUGGUGGAAAGUUUUUUCGGUGUAGGAUGAGCCCGCGGCCUAUCAGCUUGUUGGUGGGGUAAUGGCCUACCAAGGCGGCGACGGGUAGCCGGACUGAGAGGUUGGUCGGCCACAUUGGGACUGAGAUACGGCCCAG
rnacentral:rRNA from 1 species